rnacentral:rRNA from 1 species
UACGUAGGCAGCAAGCGUUGUUCGGAAUUACUGGGCGUAAAGAGUGUGUAGGCGGUGUUCUAAGUCUGUUGUGAAAUCUCCCGGCUUAACUGGGAGGGUGCGGCGGAAACUGGAAUGCUAGAGGAUGGGAGAGGUAAGCGGAAUUCCUGGUGUAGCGGUGAAUGCGUAGAUAUCAGGAGGAACACCUGUGGUGUAGACAGCUUACUGGACCAUUUCUGACGCUGAGACACGAAAGCGUGGGUAGCAAACAGG